rnacentral:lncRNA from 1 species
GUUUUAUUUUUCAGUAUUUGUUUUCUUCAAGCAUUUGGUCGAGAUUAAGAAUUAAAAAUGUCAUCCAAACAAGAAAUAAUGAGUGACCAGCGGUUUAGACGGGUUGCAAAGGACCCGAGAUUUUGGGAAAUGCCAGAAAAGGAUCGAAAAGUCAAAAUUGACAAGAGAUUUCGAGCCAUGUUUCAUGACAAGAAGUUCAAGUUGAACUAUGCCGUGGAUAAAAGAGGGCGCCCCAUUAGCCAUAGCACUACAGAGGAUUUGAAGCGUUUUUACGACCUUUCAGAUUCUGAUUCCAAUCUCUCUGGUGAAGAUAGCAAAGCAUUGAGUCAAAAGAAAAUAAAGAAGAAAAAAACC